AUUGAACGCUGGCGGCAGGCCUAACACAUGCAAGUCGAGCGGAUGAAGGGAGCUUGCUCCUGGAUUCAGCGGCGGACGGGUGAGUAAUGCCUAGGAAUCUGCCUGGUAGUGGGGGAUAACGUCCGGAAACGGGCGCUAAUACCGCAUACGUCCUGAGGGAGAAAGUGGGGGAUCUUCGGACCUCACGCUAUCAGAUGAGCCUAGGUCGGAUUAGCUAGUUGGUGGGGUAAAGGCCUACCAAGGCGACGAUCCGUAACUGGUCUGAGAGGAUGAUCAGUCACACUGGAACUGAGACACGGUCCAGACUCCUACGGGAGGCAGCAGUAGGGAAUAUUGGGCAAUGGGCGAAAGCCUGAUCCAGCCAUGCCGCGUGAGUGAAGAAGGUCUUCGGAUUGUAAAACACUUUAAGUUGGGAAGAAGGGAAGUAAGUUAAUACCUUGCUGUUUUGACGUUACCAACAGAAUAAGCACCGGCUAACUUCGUG
rnacentral:rRNA from 1 species